UUUUAGAACAAAGAUGACAGAAAUCCAUAUAUCAAAAUGAUGGCUAGCCCUUUGGUUCUGGAAGGAUUUAAUUUUAAGAAAUCUGAGCCACAUGGAGAUGACACCUCAAAAAAUGCUAUCAAGGAGAAGGGUACACUUAUGAUGCAGUUUACGAAUGGAAGCGAUUCUCUGAUUGAUGAAAAAAUGUUGAGUGGUGUCACAAUAGCAAAAAUCCAAUCUAGGCUCCACCCAUUUCUACAGAAGAAAGUAAGUUAUGUUCGAUAUCAAAUGACAUGUUAAAAUAAAUGAAUAAGGAGAAGCGAGAUCAUUUUACAGAUGAGAAGAAAUCAAAGAAAAAGACUAAGAAGACGAAGUUUUCAUUUUUUCGUCGUGUGUUUGGUUGAUGCCUGAGACAAACUAUAUACAGAGAAUU